rnacentral:snoRNA from 1 species
GUGAUGUGCCUCACGGUAGGCGAGGGGUGAGCGCAACGCCCUUCACUGA